rnacentral:rRNA from 1 species
GAUGAACGCUGGCGGCGUGCCUAAUACAUGCAAGUCGAGCGAACAGACGAGGAGCUUGCUCCUCUGACGUUAGCGGCGGACGGGUGAGUAACACGUGGAUCACCUACCUAUAAGACUGGGAUAACUUCGGGAAACCGGAGCUAAUACCGGAUAAUCUAUUGAACCGCAUGGUUCAAUAGUGAAAGACGGUUUUGCUGUCACUUAUAGAUGGAUCCGCGCCGCAUUAGCUAGUUGGUAAGGUAACGGCUUACCAAGGCAACGAUGCGUAGCCGACCUGAGAGGGUGAUCGGCCACACUGGAACUGAGCCACGGUCCAGACUCCUACGGGAGGCAGCAGUAGGGAAUCUUCCGCAAUGGGCGAAAGCCUGACGGAGCAACGCCGCGUGAGUGAUGAAGGUCUUCGGAUCGUAAAACUCUGUUAUUAGGGAAGAACAAAUGUGUAAGUAACUAUGCACGUCUUGACGGUACCUAAUCAGAAAGCCACGGCUAACUACGUG